AUUUUAUAUAUCUUAUAUUAAUAUUUAUUUGGUUCUUAUUUGUUAUUAUUAUAUCUUAUAUUUUGUUGGGGCGACAGGAAAAUUAUUUUAACUUUUUUUAUUUUAUUUCAUUGAUUUAUGUUUAUUUGAUCCAUUUUUAGUGAUUAUAAGAUUAAAU
rnacentral:rRNA from 1 species